rnacentral:rRNA from 1 species
ACAUGCCUACAACAUAACGUGAAUGCAUUGGACUCCAUUAGAACUUCGUAGUUAAGCGCACUCGGGCUAGAGUAGUAUUGGGAUGGGGGACCACCCAAGAAGUCUUAGUAUUUUACAUGCC